GGGGAUUUAGCUCAGUGGCAUAAGCGCCUGCCUUGCAAGCAGGCAGUCAUGAGUUCGAUACUCGGUACCCA
rnacentral:tRNA from 1 species